rnacentral:lncRNA from 1 species
GCUCUCUUUCUCGCUCGCGUGUGUACUGCCUCUCUUUCUUGCGUGUGAUCCGUCACUUUCUCUCGCUCGCAGGUUGGUCAUGUGAUUCUCUCUCGCUUGCGAGCGGUUUAUCCGCGAUCAGCGUGUCUCCUUCGCGUCCAUGCCUGUUCCGUUCCGUCCCGUCUUAUUCUGUGCUUUAUCCGCGUUUUGCGCCAUUAUCAAAGUUCCGCGUCUCGUUCUCUGCGUUUUCUUUCGUGUACGCUCUGUUUUAUCCGCGUCCGCGUUGCGUUUUCAUUCGCGUUGCGUCUUGUCAUUCGUCUGCGUCGCGUCUUUUUAGUUUUUACUCUGCGUUCUGCGUGCGGUAGCUGCCCGCGAUCUCCUGCGUAUAUCUUAUACAAGACACCCUUCAUACAAAGCAAUCGGCGGCUCGGCCAUCGAGUCUCCAGUCCUAGUGAUGGAAUAAGCAAAAGAACGAUUGGCUAUCGCUGUCAACUUCCGCUGCGCAGCAAGCAUUGCCGCGUUCUGCAUAUGAUAUGAGAGUGACAGCGCUGUUUGAUUUUUAUUUGUUUCUAAAAUGGAAAUCGAAGAAAACGAAUUUGAUUUUUCGGCGGACGAAGCAGCGUUUUCCGCUGCAGUGCUCGCCGCCGCAGCAGUGAUGCCAGAAUGCCAGUGAUGCCAGAAUACCCACGCUAGCAACACGCAACCAUAGUGAAAAGGAUGACGCACACAAGCGCAAACCGCGUACGUGUGAGCUUGGCGCUUCGGCUGGCUUCAGAUAGCAGAAGAGGACAGAUAUACUGUUUUCUGUCUCUUUCCUUCUUAUCGAGCCGGGAUGAAGACCGGGCGGUACGCGAUCGAUUU